CCCUUAGAGUUUGAUCCUGGCUCAGAAUCAACGCUGGCGGCGUGCCUAACACAUGCAAGUCGAACGCGGUUUUCCCGCAAGGGAAAACUGAGUGGCGAACGGGUGAGUAACACGUGGGUGACCUACCUUCGAGUGGGGGAUAACGUCCCGAAAGGGACGCUAAUACCGCAUAACAUCCUUCCUUUGAACAGGGAGAGAUCAAAGCCGGGGAUCGCAAGACCUGGCGCUUGAUGAGGGGCUCGCGUCUGAUUAGCUAGUUGGUGAGGUAAUGGCUCACCAAGGCAACGAUCAGUAGCCGGCCUGAGAGGGCGGACGGCCACACUGGGACUGAGACACGGCCCAGACUCCUACGGGAGGCAGCAGUGGGGAAUUGUUCGCAAUGGGCGCAAGCCUGACGACGCAACGCCGCGUGGAGGAUGAAGGUCCUCGGAUUGUAAACUCCUGUUGCCAGGGACGAAUGGCUACGACCUAACACGUCGUGGUGUGACGGUACCUGGUGAGGAAGCCCCGGCUAACUCUGUGCCAGCAGCCGCGGUAAUACAGAGGGGGCAAGCGUUGUUCGGAAUUACUGGGCGUAAAGGGCGCGUAGGCGGCCUGUUAAGUCGAACGUGAAAUCCCCGGGCUCAACCCGGGAACUGCGUCCGAUACUGGCAGGCUUGAAUCCGGGAGAGGGAUGCGGAAUUCCAGGUGUAGCGGUGAAAUGCGUAGAUAUCUGGAGGAACACCGGUGGCGA
rnacentral:rRNA from 1 species